rnacentral:misc_RNA from 1 species
GAUGAAGAACGCAGCGAAAUGCGAUAAGUAAUGUGAAUUGCAGAAUUCAGUGAAUCAUCGAAUCUUUGAACGCACCUUGCGCUCCUUGGUAUUCCGAGGAGCAUGCCUGUUUGAGUGUCAUUAAAUUCUCAACCUUUCCAGCUUUUGCGAGUUUGGAUUGGCUUGGAUGUGGAGGUUUGCAGGCUUCUCAGAAGUCAGCUCCUCUUAAAUGCAUUAGCGGAACCUUUGUGGACCAGCUUUGGUGUGAUAAUUAUCUAUGCCAUGGUUGUGGAGCAGUUUUUAUAUGGGGUUCAGCUUCUAACAGUCCAUUGACUUGGACAAUUUCUGACAUAUUGACCUCAAAUCAGGUAGGACUACCCGCUGAACUUAAGCAUAUCAAUAAGCGGAGGA